CCUAUUUUUUUAAAACGCCCCCGAUUACUUUACCAUGGGAUAAUGGAAUAGGACCCUGUCCUCCUAUUUUCAGUUGGUUUUGGCAGCGCGAGGACUAGGGUAAUGAUUAAUAGGGAUAGUUGGGGGCAUUAAUAUUUAAUUGUCAGAGGUGAAAUUCUUGGAUUUAUGAAAGAUUAACUUCUGCGAAAGCAUCUGCCAAGGAUGUUUUCAUUAAUCAAGAACGAAAGUUAGGGGAUCGAAGACGAUCAGAUACCGUCGUAGUCUUAACCAUAAACGAUGCCGACCAGCGAUUAGGAGACGUUGAAUACAAAACACCACCAUCGGCGCGGUCGUCCUUGGCGUCGGUCCUUCACGGGGCCGGCGCGAGGGCGGCUUAGCCCGGUGGCACCGGUGAAUGACUCCCCAGCAAGUUUGUGAA
rnacentral:rRNA from 1 species